rnacentral:rRNA from 1 species
AUACGGAGGGGGCUAGCGUUGUUCGGAAUUACUGGGCGUAAAGCGUACGUAGGCGGACUGAUCAGUUGGGGGUGAAAUCCCAGGGCUUAACCCUGGAACUGCCUUCAAUACUGUCAGUCUUGAGAUUGGAAGAGGUGAGUGGAAUUCCUAGUGUAGAGGUGAAAUUCAUAGAUAUUAGGAGGAACGCCAGUGGCGAAGGCGGCUCACUGGUCCAAUACUGACGCUGAGGUACGAAAGCGUGGGGAGCAAACAGGAUUAGAAACCCUAGUAGUCC